rnacentral:rRNA from 1 species
UACAGAGGCCACGAGCGUUAGGCGGAAUCACUGGGCUUAAAAGCGUGUGUAGGUGGAUGGGUAAGUACCUUGUGAAAUCCCACGGCUCAACCGUGGAACUGCUUGGUAUACUGCCUGUCUUGAGGCACUCAGGGGCGAGCGGAACAAAUGGUGGAGCGGUGAAAUGCGUAGAUAUCAUUUGGAACGCCAAUGGUGAAGACAGCUCGCUGGGGGGUGUACUGACACUGAGACACGAAAGCCAGGGGAGCAAACGGG